rnacentral:lncRNA from 1 species
GGUCGGCACACACCUCCCGCCGCGGCCGCGCGCCAUUGGCGGGGCGGGGGCGGCUCCGUCCUCGCACCCGCUUCAGUCCUCAGACCCCUCGCACCCAUUUCAGUCCUCACACAGUCCUCAGACCCCUCGCACCCAUUUCAGUCCUCACACAGUCCUCAGACCCCUCGCACCCAUUUCAGUCCUCACACAGUCCUCAGACCCCUCGCACCCAUUUCAGUCCUCACACAGUCCUCAGACCCCUCGCACCCAUUUCAGUCCUCACUCCCUUCACAGCCGUCACAGUCCUUAGACCUCUCGCACUCCUCACGGGCCCCACAGUCCUCAGACCCCUCACAGUCCUCAGAUGCCUCACACCCUCCCCUCAGACCCCUCACAGUCCUCACUCCCCUCAAACCCUCCCGUCAGACUCCUCACUCCCCUCACUGUCCUCACACCCUCCCCUCAGACCCCUCAGUCCUCACUCCCCUCACACCCUCCCCUCAGACCCCUCACAGUCCUCACUCCCCUCACAGCCUCCCCUCAGACCCCUCACAGUCCUCACUCCCCUCACAGCCUCCCCUCAGACCCCUCACAGUCCUCACUCCCCUCACAGCCUCCCCUCAGACCCCUCACAGUCCUCACUCCCCUCACAGCCUCCCCUCAGACCCCUCACAGUCCUCACUCCCCUCACAGCCUCCCCUCAGACCCCUCACUCCCCUCACUGUCCUCACACCCUCCCCUCAGACCCCUCACUGUCCUCACACCUCUUACGCUCCUCACUCCCCUCACACCCCUCACAGUCCUCACUCCCCUCAGACCCCUUGUUGCCUAAAAUGGAAGAAAAGAACCCUCAGACCCCUACUCACCUCACAUUCCACCGGCCUUGGGUCCCUCUGCGCCGCCGCAGCUUCACUGAGAUCCGGGGCGGAGGUAGGCGAGCCUAAGGCAUCAAGACUUUCAAUCAAGUGUGUGCCCGCCUGCCUGAGGGCAGGCGAGGGGGGACCCAUCGCUGCACAAAAACACUGCUGGCUUUCCAAAAUCAUGGAAGCGCGUGUUCGCCUUCACAUUUGCACUUUGUUCAGGGAAAAAACCCCAAAAAACAAACUUAUAAGAAAACCCACUUGA